rnacentral:rRNA from 1 species
AUUGAACGCUGGCGGCAGGCCUAACACAUGCAAGUCGAGCGGAUGAAGAGAGUUUGCUCUCUGAUUUAGCGGCGGACGGGUGAGUAAUGCCUAGGAAUCUGCCUGGUAGUGGGGGAUAACGUUCCGAAAGGAACGCUAAUACCGCAUACGUCCUACGGGAGAAAGCAGGGGACCUUCGGACCUUGCGCUAUCAGAUGAGCCUAGGUCGGAUUAGCUAGUUGGUGAGGUAAUGGCUCACCAAGGCUACGAUCCGUAACUGGUCUGAGAGGAUGAUCAGUCACACUGGAACUGGGACACGGUCCAGACUCCUACGGGAGGCAGCAGUGGGGAAUAUUGGACAAUGGGCGAAAGCCUGAUCCAGCCAUGCCGCGUGUGUGAAGAAGGUCUUCGGAUUGUAAAGCACUUUAAGUUGGGAGGAAGGGCAGUAAGUUAAUACCUUGCUGUUUUGACGUUACCGACAGAAUAAGCACCGGCUAACUUCGUGCCAGCCGCCGCGGUAACAC